AUUGAACGCUGGCGGCAUGCCUUACACAUGCAAGUCGAACGGUAACGGGCCUUCGGGUGCCGACGAGUGGCGAACGGGUGAGUAAUGUAUCGGAACGUACCUUUCAGUGGGGGAUAACGUAGCGAAAGUUACGCUAAUACCGCAUAUUCUGUGCGCAGGAAAGCAGGGGAUCGCAAGACCCUGCGCUGAUUGAGCGGCCGAUAUCAGAUUAGCUAGGUCGUGAGGUAAAGGCUGACCAAGGCGACGAUCUGUAGCGGGUCUGAGAGGAUGAUCCGCCACACUGGAACUGAGACACGGUCCAGACUCCUACGGGAGGCAGCAGUGGUGAAUUUUGGACAAUGGGGGCAACCCUGAUCCAGCCAUGCCGCGUGAGUGAAGAAGGCCUUCGGGUUGUAAAGCUCUUUCGGCCGGGAAGAAAUCGUAUCAGCUAAUACCUGGUGCGGAUGACGGUACCGGCAUAAGAAGCACCGGCUAACUACGUGCCAGCCGCCGCGGUAACAC
rnacentral:rRNA from 1 species